UACGUAGGGUGCGAGCGUUGCCCGGAUUUAUUGGGCGUAAAGGGCGCGUAGGCGGUUUGUCGCGUCUGCCGUGAAAGUCCGGGGCUCAACUCCGGAUCUGCGGUGGGUACGGGCAGACUAGAGUGAUGUAGGGGAGACUGGAAUUCCUGGUGUAGCGGUGAAAUGCACAGAUAUCAGGAGGAACACCGAUGGCGAAGGCAGGUCUCUGGGCAUUAACUGACGCUGAGGAGCGAAAGCAUGGGGAGCGAACAGG
rnacentral:rRNA from 1 species